rnacentral:rRNA from 1 species
AUGCUUAACACAUGCAAGUCGAACGGUAACGCGGGGGCAACCCUGGCGACGAGUGGCGGACGGGUGAGUAAUACGUAGGAAUCUGCCCUGUAGUGGGGGAUAACCCGGCGAAAGCCGGGCUAAUACCGCAUACGCUCUACGGAGGAAAGUGGGGGAUCGCAAGACCUCACGCUAAAGGAUGAGCCUACGUCGGAUUAGCUAGUUGGUAGGGUAAUGGCCUACCAAGGCGACGAUCCGUAGCUGGUCUGAGAGGACGAUCAGCCACACUGGGACUGAGACACGGCCCAG